ensembl:lncRNA
GAGAAAAGACUGAGUUCUCCCGAAUAGAGGGAAUUCUGCCCUCAGACUGCCUACAGACUCGAGCUGCAACAUCAACUCUUCCCUGGUCUCCAGCCUGCUGGCCUGCCCUGCAGAUUUCGGACUUGCCAGCCUCCAUGACCACAUGAAGAAACUAAGGCUCAGAGAGAUUGUGACUUGCUAGGAAUUGACGAGAUUUAAAACAGGUUAUUUGCCUCCAGGACCUGUGCCCUUCAUCAUUAUAUGGUUUCAGGAGAGCCAAUGUCCCGGCGUCCAGAAGAAGAGAAGAAAAUAGGGAUUGAGACUUGGGAAGACGCUACUCCCAAAAUAACGUGAGAAGUUUUCCCUGAGCUGAGGAAAGAUCCAAGACCUGAGAUCAAAAGCGGUUCAACAUUUGCCAGACAGGAUUACCCAAAAAGGACACACGCUUUGGGUGCCCUGAGCUGCCUUUACAGUUCAGCUGCCUGGAAGCUGCCAUGCAGAAAAGACUACAUGAAGCAAUAGACGCAUGAGGAACCCCACUUGUUCCAGCUCCUGACUGAUUAUUCCCAACCCAGAUGCCUGACACAAGGUUCUUUGUUGAUGAGCUCACUGUGUUCAUCCAGCCUUCGCCUAAUAUCUGUGAGCAUCCUUAUGAGAUUUUGUUUGAACUCUUUGUCAGCUAAUAGUAGUCAGGUGACCCUGUUGUGGCAAAUGAGAGAGAUGUAAGGAUAAACCGCUAGACCAUUUCUGGGAAAGCUCCUGCUUUCCUAGUAAAAUGAACAGACAUGGCUGGCUCUGCCCUCACCCUCCAGCUUCCUGCCCCAGAUGUAGCGGUGAUGCCUGAGCUGCACAGACGUCUCCCGAGCAUGAAGUGGCACAAACACGACACCAUCUCCAUCAAAAGCCCCAGCAGCCACCAUGAUUGGACACCAGCAUAAGCAACCUGCCUAAGCCUACUGUGUCAGCUUCAGAAGAAAACUCAAUUCAUGGGCACCUGGAUCAUUUCCCUACCUGUUCCUAGUAGCCCCAGCCUUUUAAGGUAUAGGUACCUGUCCCCUGCUCCAACUGGACAGAUGGAGGUGGAGCCCUACUCAGCAGAGUCCUGAGAACUCCAUGCAGUCCGCUCUCAGUGGGGGCGAGGGCACCAGCCACAGAGGAGUCGCCCCCACUCUGCCUUCUGAAGGCCUUGCAGAUCUGCUGUCACAUUACUGUGGGGCAAAUCACUCUAAAACUACAAAUGCAUAAAUUGUGUUUCAUAUCUAGAGAUAGAUACAGAAUAGAGAUAGAUAAACAUCAAUUUUCUCCUUAAGAGCAGUUAGAAUUUGGACUAUCCUAAUCAGGAAUUCACACUCCAGAGUUAGAGAACUAGCAUAUUAAAAUUAUGAUGGAAAUAUACAUCAGAACGUUUGCUAAGGAAUAGGAAAUGGAUGUCUUCAAGAUACGUGCCUAGUUAUAGAGUCUGUGGACCACAGGAUGAUUUGAAUGAACAUAAUUCAGAUAACCCAGCAGCCAAAGGCUGUUGGCAGUGCUUGAGAAUCCCAACACUUCCAUAGGACUUGGUGGAAUGACCUGACAACCAGGGGUGAAGAACAUGUGUCUUCCAAAGAGUGAAUCUGUCACACAAGGUGUCCAGGGGACACUGUGAGGCACUGCCCACAGCCCUCUUCAGAACUCAGGACUUUUUCCCAAGUUUUGGAGUGUUGGCAGCAGAGCCCUCCACUGUCAGCCUUCUUUUAGAACUGCCUCAGUGGAAGCGCCAUCUUGCCCACCGUCACAUCCCCUUCAACAGGGCAGUCCUCACUUAGUAACUGGUCAGUGUAGGUGUACAAAUUCCCAGCCCUCUUGUCUCAACUUGGGACACUUCUGGAGGACCGUCCCAGCUCCAGAGGAACCAUGUGACUGCCUCCUAGCCCAACUUAUCUCUCUGUGCAAUCCUCCUUCCAUUGGUCCCAAGGUCACUCCAUAAUGAACACCUGCAUAAAAUCUCCAUGUCAGACUGUUUCCCAGGAACCCAACCUGCUCGGUUGUGUCAGUAGUGGUAUAUUGGCACCGGACCCCCCUCCACCCCACGUGCUCACAGUUAUGACCCCUAGUAAGAAAGAGCGACAGAUGGGUUCUGGUAAAGGUAGCAGAGCAAUUGUUAAAACUUUCACCUGUGAUGACCUGGAAUGGGACAGUACCCAAUAUCAGUAACUAUAAGAACAGUAGAAUUGGGUGGCAAUUGCUAAAUGCUGUGGACUCUGACAAAAGAUGAAAGUCUGGGAGUGAUUAAUCAGCAAUUGAAUACUGAGGGUGAAAUUCAGAGGGUUUCCUUGGUAACAUAAAAGAGACACUCAUGUCCUAGACCAAGAAGGAUAGCAAAUAUAUCUAUUGCGAAUAUCUUUUUUCUGACUCUAUGGCUUGCCUUUGUAUUUUCUCAAUGGUAUCUUUUGAAUUGAUUCAUGAUUUCCACGUCCUACCUAAGAAAUCUUUGCCUAACCUACGUUUGUAAAGAUUUUAUCCUACACUUUCUUAUAAAAAUUUUAUAGUUAUGGGGCCGGCCCCAUGGCUAAGUGGUUAAGUUUUCAUGCUCCACUUCAGUGGCGCAGGAUUUUGCCAGUUCAGAUCCUGGGCGCAGGCAUGGCACUGCUCAUCAGGCCAUGUUGAGACGGUGUCCCACAUGCCACAACUAGAAGGACCCACAACUAAAAUAUACAACUAUGUACUGGGGCGAUUUGGGGAGAAAAAGCAAAAAAAAAAAAAAAUUAUAGUUUUAAUGUUUGUGUUGAGGUCUAUAAUUCAUUUUCAUUUAAUUUUUGUGGAUGGUGUAAAAUAAGGACCAAAGUUACAUUUUUUCUAUAUGGACAUCCAGUUGUUCUAACACUAUUUUUCAAAAGACUGUCUUUUUCACCUUUGAAUUACCUGGCUAGUUUAUCAAAAAUUAAUUGACCAUACACCUGUAGAUCCCUUUCUGAGCUUGUUAUUAUGUUCCAUUGAUUCAUUUGUCCAUCCUAUGCUAGGACUACAGUGAGGAUUACUUUCUGGAAAUUAGAUAGUGUUAAUUGUCCAACUUGCUUCUUCUCUUUCAAAGUUAUGUUGGCUAUUCUAGAUCUUUUGCAUUUCUCUAUGUGCUUCUUUAAAUCAGAUGAUAAAUUUCUGAAAACAACUACUGGGAAUUUGAUUAGUAUUGCACUGAAUCGAUAUAAAAAAUUAACAAGUGACAUCUUAGUAUUUAGUCAUUCCAGUCAAUGAGCACAGUACCUCUCCAUUCAUUUAGGUCUCCUUUGAUUUUUCUAAGCAAUGUUUGGUAGGUUUUUUUUUGUUUUUUUUUUUAAGGAUUGGCACCUGGGCUAACAACUGUUGCCAAUCUUUUUUUUUUCCUGCUUUAUCUCCCCAAAUCCCCCCUGUACACAGUUGUGUAUCUUAGUUGCAGGUCCUUCUAGUUGUGAGAUGUUGUUUUGUAGUUUUUAGCGUGCAAAUCUUACACACAUUUUGUUAAAUUUAUCCUUGUUCACAUUUUCUCAUUCUAUUAUUGUAAAAUAGUUGCUAAUAUAUUGACCUUGUAUCCUGCCACCUUGCUAAAUCAUUUAUUAUUUCUAGUAGAUUCUUUUUUGUAGAUUCUUUUUUUCCCUCUAUGUGAUCAUUUCAUCUGAAAAUAAAGUCUUAACGUCUUUCUUUCCCACCUGCAUGCCUCUUUUCUUUUUCUUGCCUUAUUUCGCACUGCCUAGGGCCUCCAGCAUAAAGCUGAUUUAAGGACCGAAAAUGGACGUCCUUACUUUCUUCUCAAUCUUAGGGGGAACGAAUUCAAUCUUUUCCUAGAAAGUAUGAUGUUAGCUCCAGGUGUUUUGUAAAAGCCUUUUAUCGGGUUGAGGACAUUCUCUUUUAUUAUUAGUUUGCUGAGGUUUAUUAUUAAAAAUGGACUUAAAUGUUACUACAUGCUUUUUUGCAUUUAUUAAAAAAUAACUAUAUGGUUUGUCUCCUUUAUUCCUGUGUCUUAGUGACUUACAUUGGUUGACCUUUUAAAAUUAAAUCAACCUUGGAUUCCUGGGACAAACCCCACAUGAUUAUACUAUAGUCUCUUUUUUACAUAUGGUUGAAUUUAAUUUGCUAAUAUUUUGUUAAUAAAUUUUAUGUUCAUAAGAGAUAUUGCUCUGUAGUCUUCUUCUCUGCCUUCUUUGCAAUGUCUUUGUUUAGUUUUGGUAUCAGGGU